UAGGAAAGGAGUGGUAUUAUCCCAGUCUUCCAGCUUAAACAUUUCACAACACUAAAUCCAUACUCUUUCUCCUUGUGUCUUACAAUUCUCCAAGCUAGAUCCCUGAGCAUAUUCCAUCAUCAGUGGGAAAGGGAGCUGAGCACAUCUGCACAGCCUCCUGUUUCGGUACAGAAUGUGUCCUAAAAUAGAUGUUGGCACACUGCUUUCCCACUGAGCAGACAAAAGAACAGAAGCUGUUACAGUAAAUAUUUCCAGGAGGCACGACUCCUUCGGCUUCCAGACCAUCUAUUGCCACUUUUAACUGAUUAAAGUGAUUGCCUGGGACUGCUGGAUCUAUUCUAACUGUAUAAAUAUAGUCAGAACAUAACGUGCUGAAUCUCUGUGUGUGAACUCUGCUUCUCACUAGUAUCUGGCUUCUGUUAC